AAAGAAACUAACAAGGAUUCCCCUAGUAACGGCGAGUGAAGCGGGAACAGCUCAAAUUUUAAAUNNNGCUGCUUCGCAGUCCGAGUUGUAAUUUGAAGGCGUCUGUCGCAUGUGAGACGAUGGCACAAGUCCUCUGGAACGUGGCAUCGUAGAGGGUGAGAAUCCCGUCUCUGGUCGUUGUCUUGCAGGCACACGGCAGGCGAUCCGAAGAGUCGAGUUGUUUGGGAUUGCAGCUCCAAAUGGGUGGUAAACUCCAUCUAAGGCUAAAUAUUGGCGAGAGACCGAUAGCGAACAAGUACCGUGAGGGAAAGAUGAAAAGAACUUUGAAAAGAGAGUWAAACAGUACGUGAAAUUGUUGAAAGGGAAACGCUUGAAGUCAGUCGUGCCGGCGGGGAUUCAGCGAACUUCGCGGAGUGAGCGUAUUUCCUCGCAUGGCAGGUCAGCNUCAGUUUUGCGCGUCGUGAAAGGGCUCGGGUAAGGUGACUCUCUUCGGGGAGUGUUAUAGGCCUGAGCAGANGCGAUGCGCGGGACUGAGGAUUGCASCGGACACCCUUUGGGGCGCGGCGACCGAUCCCUGCUCUGUCACCUUCGUCCGAUAACGUGCUAACGGUCGGGGGAGCCGCCGUUUCACCGGGUUGGCAAGCCCGCGGCUUCGCUNAGGNNNCUGGCGUAAUGGCUUUAAACGA
rnacentral:rRNA from 1 species